UACGGAGGGGGCUAGCGUUGUUCGGAAUUACUGGGCGUAAAGCGCGCGUAGGCGGACCUGCAAGUCGGGGGUGAAAGCCCGAGGCUCAACCUCGGAACUGCCUUCGAUACUGCGGGUCUCGAGUCCGGGAGAGGUGAGUGGAAUUCCUAGUGUAGAGGUGAAAUUCGUAGAUAUUCGGAAGAACACCAGUGGCGAAGGCGGCUCACUGGACUGGUAUUGACGCUGAGGUGCGAAAGCGUGGGGAGCAAACAGG
rnacentral:rRNA from 1 species